GCCGCACACACUGCACCCAUUAUAAAUACGCCAGUGCCUCCUCCUCUGGUCCUUGCAGUGCACAUGCACAACCAAUGGUUACACAUGCGCAGUAACAGAGUCAGGACAGAAGGAAUAUAUACGAUAUGUCGACAGUCACAUGACUGACCUCAUCAUUUCACCACUGAGUAUGCCAACAUCAGCGAGCUCAAGCUACUGAUGCUAGAUACAAAAUGACAUUGGCUCUGUCUAACCAUGGCUGCCUGCCGGUACACUGGCUGUAACCAGUGGCAGUUCCCGGAACGUCGGGAAUGAUGGCCCCUGAAGAAGGCAGAAAUCUAAAUUUGUGGAUGGAGUGGAAAUUCAAGUCCACAUAAUCGGUGAUGCAGCCUACCCCUUACGAAGAUGGCUGAUGAAGAGGUACACCCAACAUGUUUAGACUGACACCUAAUCAAGUUGCCUUCACGCACACCCUGAGCUCUGCAAGAAUGGUUGUGGAAGACGCAUUUGGACGCUUAAAGAGACAUUGGUGCUGCCUUAUGAAGAGCAAUGAUGUGGACCUUGCAAACAUGCCGAACAUUGUUGCGGCUUGCUGUAUUCUUCACAACCUGUGUGAAUUUCAGAGGGAGGAAUUUCUACCAGAGUGGGCCGUUAAGGACACAGCUGAGCACCCUGCACCUGAAUCCACUACCUAUAUGGGCGAACAUUCUGGAAGUGCAGAACAGAUGAGGGCUGCUCUAAUGCCCAACCUUUCCUCAUUAUUGGCGUAAAAUCUUUCAGUUUGUUGUAUAUUCAUGACAUUUGUGUGUUCAGUUCAAUUAAACCAUGGUUAAUGUU